UAAUCCAGGUCGGUUUCUAUCUAUGUAGCCGCUUUCUUCAGUACGAAAGGACAAAGAAAGGGGGACCCCUGUCAAAAACACGUCCCACACUACUAACUGAAUAAAACUUAAGUAAACAGCUAUCUACCACGACCAAAGAUCGUGGUCUU
rnacentral:rRNA from 1 species